rnacentral:rRNA from 1 species
CCCUGCGCAAGGGGAUGGAGCAAUGUUGUACACACCGCCCGUCGCUACUACCGAUUGAAUGGCUCAGUGAGGCCUUCGGACUGGCUCAGAGAGGUCGGCAACGACCACUCAGAGCCGGAAAGUUGGUCAAACUUGGUCAUUUAGAGGAAGUAAAAGUCGUAACAAGGUUUCCUUCCCGGCUCACCCGCCGAAACCUUGAACAUGGCACCCCCGGGGCACGUCCUCGGGGGACUGUAGUCACCCCAAUUACGUGAGGUGGCGACAUCGACAGUCUGCGGGAAUCUCUCCACCAGCUGGGGACAACCCGCAGCCGGACCUCUUGCGUCCGGCCCACAGACUAAAUGUUGAUGGGUCCGCGCCCCCAUGCGGAUUUUCGAUAUAGUCGGUCGUCGGGGCAUACACCCCCCUCGAGCAAACGUUCCGUAGGUGAACCUGCGGAAGGAUCAUUA